rnacentral:rRNA from 1 species
UCCUACGGGAGGCAGCAGUAGGGAAUCUUCCGCAAUGGACGAAAGUCUGACGGAGCAACGCCGCGUGAGUGAUGAAGGUUUUCGGAUCGUAAAGCUCUGUUGUUAGGGAAGAACAAGUGCGAGAGUAACUGCUCGCACCUUGACGGUACCUAACCAGAAAGCCACGGCUAACUACGUGCCAGCAGCCGCGGUAAUACGUAGGUGGCAAGCGUUGUCCGGAAUUAUUGGGCGUAAAGGGCUCGCAGGCGGUUUCUUAAGUCUGAUGUGAAAGCCCCCGGCUCAACCGGGGAGGGUCAUUGGAAACUGGGAAACUUGAGUGCAGAAGAGGAGAGUGGAAUUCCACGUGUAGCGGUGAAAUGCGUAGAGAUGUGGAGGAACACCAGUGGCGAAGGCGACUCUCUGGUCUGUAACUGACGCUGAGGAGCGAAAGCGUGGGGAGCGAACAGGAUUAGAUACCCUGGUAGUCCACGCCGUAAACGAUGAGUGCUAAGUGUUAGGGGGUUUCCGCCCCUUAGUGCUGCAGCUAACGCAUUAAGCACUCCGCCUGGGGAGUACGGCCGCAAGGCUGAAACUCAAAUGAAUUGACGGA